GGGUGCAACUGAUUAAUCAUCAACUCAGAUAAUAUGGAUGUGAUUGAGAUCAUGCAGGACGGAGGACAAUCAACGGGUGCGGUGGAGGCAAUUUUCGAUGACUGCUUUCACUAUGCAUGUGAUUUUAUCAUGACUAGAUUCGAACACUGUUAUAGAGAGGCAAAUAAAGUAGCGCAUGAACUUGCUAGAUUAGCUAGAUUUUCUCCAACUUUGGUUUGGUUUGAGGAGCCUCUAAAUGAAAUUGUAAUGAUCCUCACAAACGAUGUACUGAUAAUUUCUAAUGAAUAA
rnacentral:rRNA from 1 species